rnacentral:rRNA from 1 species
GACGAACGCUGGCGGCGUGCCUAAUACAUGCAAGUUGAGCGCUGAAGGUUGGUACUUGUACCAACUGGAUGAGCAGCGCACGGGUGAGUAACGCGUGGGGAAUCUGCCUUUGAGCGGGGGACAACAUUUGGAAACGAAUGCUAAUACCGCAUAAAAACUUUAAACACAAGUUUUAAGUUUGAAAGAUGCAAUUGCAUCACUCAAAGAUGAUCCCGCGUUGUAUUAGCUAGUUGGUGAGGUAAAGGCUCACCAAGGCGAUGAUACAUAGCCGACCUGAGAGGGUGGUCGGCCACAUUGGGACGGAGACACGGCCCAAACUCCUACGGGAGGCAGCAGUAGGGAAUCGUCGGCAAUGGGCGAAAGUCUGACCGAGAAACGCCGCGGGAGGGAAGAAGGUUGUCGGGUCGUAAAACUCUGUUGGUAGAGAAGAACGUUGGUGAGAGUGGAAAGCUCAUCAAGUGACGGUAACUACCCAGAAAGGGACGGCUAACUACGUG